rnacentral:lncRNA from 1 species
GUCAAAUGUCUUAAAGGAUAUAUUUGAUUCAAUUUUUGACGAGUGUUUUCAAUGAAAACACUUCCUGAAAAUAUAAUACAAAACACUAUCACAAUAUAAUUAAGAUUACAACCCUGCCUUAAUAUAAGAAUAUAUUUUUUAAGCCGCAUCGCAUUGGUUUCUGGCACAUGUCGAAAGUUCUGGAUGUUUUCUUGCAUGUUUCUUCGUAAUUUUAUUAGUGUUUAUGGAAUUAAUUCAACGCCAUUUUAAGUAUUAUGGGCAUCUAUUACUGCUUAACAAGUUCGAUAUUCAUCAUUUUCCUUCACGUGUGAAAACUUCCAAGCCUCCUUUCUUUUUGGUGAUGACUGACGAUAACUAUUCCACCAACAAAGCUCAUUUGUUAAUUUUUCAAUAAUUGCUUUUUUCUAUCUACUAAAUGUAUUUCAUGGAGAUGAAAAAUAUUUGGUUUAUUUUCCGUCCUUGGAUUCUAAGGGCUGUCACUAGAUGGCUAAAUAUUUCAGUGUGUUUAGGGAUUGAACUAUUCAGCUCUAGUGUGUUGGUUAGGAUGUAGGGGGGUGGGUCAUCAAACUGUCAAAGUUUUGAGAAGACAGACGAAUAAGUAGUUCUCUUGUUCCGAUACGCUGGCCGAGAAGGGUUACUCCAGUAAUUGCUGGGUACUUUAUUCUGGAAUUGUUCGUCAAAAAAAGGAUUCAUUUGUCAGUUUGAUGUUGAAGCUGUUAAUUGUGUUAUCGGGUGUGCAGUGGUUAAGCUGUCAUUUCCUAGUUAAGAGAUGCCCUGAAAUGGAAUUAAGGAGACUUGCAGUUCAGCAUUAUACUUCUAUGAUCUGCCUAUGUUGGUGUUCUUCAGUUCUUGCUAUGUUGAACUGUUGUGCAAAAUAGUCGAUGUUGCCUAGUGGUUGUCAAUUGUAUUUUAUCGGCUGCAUUAUGUCGAUGUGCCGUCUCUUACUACCUGUAUCCUCGUUAAGGUACGAACGUCCGCAAUUUAUCCACACAUUUACAGUAUGUACUUUUAUGUAUGAACAUUUUCCUAAAAUGCCGUCUCUUGCUUCGUGUUGGACGUUUCGUCAAGUGCAGAAGUACUUCAUAAAACACAGCAUUUCCAUUGAUGCCGAAGUUAAUUUCAUGCUGGUUAUAGUAUCACAUUUACACAGAUGAUGUUGCCAUCCCAUGUGACGAGUCAAACUAUUGCUGAGUGAAAGAUAAACGUUCAUCAGGUGAAUUUGUUUACCAUGUAGUAUAUCUAUUGAUGCUUAAAAUGAAUAUCAUGUUGUCUAUUAUUUAUUAUGUGAGCUGUGUUGCUGCUAUCCAGAUGGUUUUGUUGCAGUCAGCUGGUGAGAGGGUAGUUCGAGCUGACCUGCAGCUGCUGCAAGUAGUAAGUGGUGUUACUUGAAAUGUAACAGCAAUUGAAGAUGUUUGGAAUAUAUUUAAUAAAAAUUUAAGUUGUAUCUGGUAAAA